rnacentral:rRNA from 1 species
AGAGUUUGAUCAUGGCUCAGAGCGAACGCUAGCGGCGAGCUUAACACAUGCAAGUCGAGCGCAUGGCUUCGGCCAUGAGCGGCGGACGGGUGAGUAACACGUAGGUAAUCUGCCCUCUGGUGGGGAAUAACCCGGGGAAACCCGAGCUAAUACCGCAUAUGGCCUUCGGGUCAAAGCCUUCGGGCGCCAGUGGAUGAGCCUGCGUCCCAUUACCUAGUUGGCGGGGUAACGGCCCACCAAGGGGACGAUGGGUAGCUGGUCUGAGAGGAUGAUCAGCCACACUGGGACUGAGACACGGCCCAGACUCCUACGGGAGGCAGCAGUGGGGAAUAUUGCGCAAUGGGCGAAAGCCUGACGCAGCUACGCCGCGUGGGUGAUGAAGGUCUUCGGAUCGUAAAGCCCUGUCGGGAGGGAAGAACAAUGACGGUACCUCCCAAGAAAGCACCGGCUAACUCCGUGCCAGCAGCCGCGGUAAUAC